GGUUAAGCGACUAAGCGUACACGGUGGAUGCCCUGGCAGUCAGAGGCGAUGAAGGACGUGCUAAUCUGCGAUAAGCGCCGGUAAGGUGAUAUGAACCGUUAUAACCGGCGAUUUCCGAAUGGGGAAACCCAGUGUGAUUCGUCACACUAUCAUUACGUGAAUACAUAGCGUAAUGAAGCGAACCGGGGGAACUGAAACAUCUAAGUACCCCGAGGAAAAGAAAUCAACCGAGAUUCCCCCAGUAGCGGCGAGCGAACGGGGAGCAGCCCAGAGUCUGAAUCAGCAUGUGUGUUAGUGGAACGGUCUGGAAAGUCCGACGGUACAGGGUGAUAGUCCCGUACACAAAAAUGCAUAGGUUGUGAACUCGAAGAGUAGGGCGGGACACGUGGUAUCCUGUCUGAAUAUGGGGGGACCAUCCUCCAAGGCUAAAUACUCCUGACUGACCGAUAGUGAACCAGUACCGUGAGGGAAAGGCGAAAAGAACCCCGGCGAGGGGAGUGAAAAAGAACCUGAAACCGUGUACGUACAAGCAGUGGGAGCACCUUCGGGUGUGACUGCGUACCUUUUGUAUAAUGGGUCAGCGACUUAUAUUCUGUAGCAAGGUUAACCGUAUAGGGGAGCCGAAGGGAAACCGAGUCUUAACCGGGCGUUAAGUUGCAGGGUAUAGACCCGAAACCCGGUGAUCUAGCCAUGGGCAGGUUGAAGGUUGGGUAACACUAACUGGAGGACCGAACCGACUAAUGUUGAAAAAUUAGCGGAUGACUUGUGGCUGGGGGUGAAAGGCCAAUCAAACCGGGAGAUAGCUGGUUCUCCCCGAAAGCUAUUUAGGUAGCGCCUCGUGAACUCAUCUUCGGGGGUAGAGCACUGUUUCGGCUAGGGGGUCAUCCCGACUUACCAACCCGAUGCAAACUGCGAAUACCGAAGAAUGUUAUCACGGGAGACACACGGCGGGUGCUAACGUCCGUCGUGAAGAGGGAAACAACCCAGACCGCCAGCUAAGGUCCCAAAGUCAUGGUUAAGUGGGAAACGAUGUGGGAAGGCACAGACAGCCAGGAUGUUGGCUUAGAAGCAGCCAUCAUUUAAAGAAAGCGUAAUAGCUCACUGGUCGAGUCGGCCUGCGCGGAAGAUGUAACGGGGCUAAACCAUGCACCGAAGCUGCGGCAGCGACACUAUGUGUUGUUGGGUAGGGGAGCGUUCUGUAAGCCGUUGAAGGUGUCCUGUGAGGGAUGCUGGAGGUAUCAGAAGUGCGAAUGCUGACAUAAGUAACGAUAAUGCGGGUGAAAAACCCGCACGCCGGAAGACCAAGGGUUCCUGUCCAACGUUAAUCGGGGCAGGGUGAGUCGACCCCUAAGGCGAGGCCGAAAGGCGUAGUCGAUGGGAAACAGGUUAAUAUUCC
rnacentral:rRNA from 1 species